rnacentral:tRNA from 1 species
GGUGGGUUGGCUCAGUGGUUAAAGCUUAGGUCUCGUAACCAAAGGUCGCGGGAUCGAAUCCCGCUAGAGGCUG